AAAACGAAAAGAAAAGAAAACAUAGACAAGUAUUUUCAAUGCUUUGUACCAAUUUUUCUAUAAUUUUUUAUAAAAGGUAAAAAAAUUAUUCUUAUAUGUGGUUUUGUUUCAUUUUGUUCUUUUACUCUUUGUGUUUCUAGUUUUAUUACCUCACAAUUCAUUCUUUACCAUUUAAUUUCUAAAUUUGUUGUUUGCUAAAAAAUAUAUAUUUAAUAUAUAAUCACUUCUAUGAGUGUGAGAUCUUCAGAUUUUAUUCGGUAAUUUCAAGUCAGUGUCAAUAGCUACCACAGGAAGGAAAAACACUAAGGUUAUCCAACAUUGUAAAACUUGGAGUGGCUUGUAGUUCUUUCAUGGAAGUAUUUCCCCCUCAAAGACCUGACUUUGACUGUACGAAAAUCCUUUCAAAGCUUAAAGGAUUAUUGUUGAGCAUCUGGAUUCAUGCCCUUGCCUAAAAAUCUUAGUGCCAUCCACUGUGUCUUUCUCAAAUCUUCUGCAUCUAGAUGUUGGUGAAUGUAAUGGAUUGGUAUAUUUGCUCACAUCAUCAACAGCCAAAAGUUUAGGUUCAUUGAAGGAGAUGAUUCUAUGGAAUUGUGAAUCAUUACAAGAAAUAGUGUUCAAAGGAGAUCAUGAAUCUGGUGAUGAAGAGAUAAUAUUUUGACAGUUUAAAGCUCUGUCCUUAUAGUAUUUACCAAGCAUGGUAGGCUUUUACACUGAGACUCCUAUGUUGAAAUUUCCAUGCCUGGAUUAUCAAGUAACAUUAUAUGGGAAUGCCCUAAAAAACGUUCAAUACUUAAUCCCGAGUAAACCAUUAAUUUAUUUUUGUGCUUUUAACUGUUUCAAUGUUAACAUCAAAUAUCCACGUCUAUUUGUUAUGUUAUAUUUUUUAUUUUAGGGAGA